rnacentral:rRNA from 1 species
GACGAACGCUGGCGGCGUGCUUAACACAUGCAAGUCGAACGGUAAGGCCCCUCGGGGUACACGAGUGGCGAACGGGUGAGUAACACGUGGGUGAUCUGCCCUGCACUUCGGGAUAAGCCUGGGAAACUGGGUCUAAUACCGGAUAGGACCACUGCCUGCAUGGGUGGUGGUGGAAAGCUUUUGCGGUGUGGGAUGGGCCCGCGGCCUAUCAGCUUGUUGGUGGGGUGAUGGCCUACCAAGGCGACGACGGGUAGCCGGCCUGAGAGGGUGACCGGCCACACUGGGACUGAGAUACGGCCCAGACUCCUACGGGAGGCAGCAGUGGGGAAUAUUGCACAAUGGGCGCAAGCCUGAUGCAGCGACGCCGCGUGAGGGAUGACGGCCUUCGGGUUGUAAACCUCUUUCAGCACCGACGAAGCGCAAGUGACGGUAGGUGCAGAAUAAGCACCGGCUAACUCCGUGCCAGCAGCCGCGGUAA